AGAGGCCUUUGUACUGCGUGCAGUCGUGACUCGAAGAGUUACUGCCAGCUGCUCCCCAACUUGGAAUAGGAUGUUCUUGAUUAAAAGGAUCGUGGAAUUAAAUAACUCCAAACUGAAUGUGCUUUUGUGUGUCUGUUUCCUCAGAAGUCUGGGGGUUGGAAGUUGUUUACACUGAUUUCUUGUGAGACUACAUUCCCAUUUUUGGAAAGCUUUUCUUUUUCAUAUAAAGUCAGUUUGAGUAUGUAAACUCGGUAAUGAAGGGCAGCCGAUCAACUAACACUUUAAUCUUGAUUGUAUAACUGUACGCAAAAUCCUUAUACUUGGCAAUCUUUCUUUCCUAAUAAUAUGUGGCUUUAACUUAAACCAGACUCUCAAAGUAAAACUGUCUUUAAACCAUGAUGCGCAAAUAAAAAUGUUUCUUUUCAUGCUGCAAAGAGUAAGCGUUUCGAAAAGUUCAACGACUUAGGCAAGGUAUUUAAUGGAGCUGAAGUUCUAUUUUCUUCUCUGGGAGAUCAUGUAGUUAGACCAGGUCUAUGUAUUCAUUCAUUAUUUUAAUUUUUUACCUACCUUUUCCAGGGUCACUGCUUUUCCCUGCUCCAUCCUACGUUCUGUCAUAGAGUUUACCAUCUGUCAACACAUAAUCAAGCAAAUACAUACACAUUGCGGUGAAAAUCAGGAAUGAAAUGUGGUAAAUCAAAAGAUAACUGUAGAAACAGCGGUGAAAAUAGUAAGAAAAGCAUGAGAUGUGGAGAGUCAUCAAUGAUGCAAGGAGGGAUGUGAAGGAGGCAUAUCAAUCCCUGAAAGCAGUUUAAAAAUGUUGUGGGCGUAUCCUCCUUUAAGCUGGAGAAGAAAUAUGAACCGAUUUUUUUUAAAAUUUCAGUUAAUUUUAUUUUUAUUUCUGGGGUACAUGUGCAGGAUGUGCACAUUUGUUACACAGGUAAACGCGUGCCAUGGUGGUUUGCUACACCUAUCAACCUAUCACCUACGUAUUAAGCCUCACAUGCAUUAGCUAUUUUUUCUAAUGCUCUUUCUCCCCCCACCCCACCCCUGACAGGCCCCAGUGUGUGGUGUUCCCUCCUGUGUCCGUGUGUUCUCAUUAUUCAGCUCCCACUUACAUGAGAACAUGUGGUGUUUGUUUUCUGUUUCUGCAUUACAUUUUUAAGAUGAUCAGAAGUGAGCAUUUCAAUUGUGAAUUGGUGAGUCUGGAACAUUGGUUCUGAGUAGCAUUGUUGACCUCAGAUGUGGGUCCAGUGCUGACUCUGCAGUUCCUUGUGAUGUAGCCAUGGCCUAUUCACUGAAUUGCAUCUUAGCUGUAGAAUGGAGAACACGAUGGUACCUGCCUGCACUGGACAUUUAAUGGGAUGUAAGCCCACUUUUUUGGGGAGUGUCUUAAAUCCCCCCAAAUUGGCGAGUCAACAAUGACAGAACACCAACAUUGAAUAUGCAGUUUAACCAUAGUUGAAUGGACCAAAGCUUUGCACUAGACCUAAAGUACAUUCAUGUAAGAUAUAGGAGAACAAACAAAAAAGCACAAAAGUACUAUUAAGUCAGCAUUUCGAGCAUUUAAACAAGCAAACCACACAAAAUGAAAUGCAACUGUGUCCCUCUGUCUGUGUACAAGGGAGCUGCUUCUUUCUUCUCCCUUCUUUCUUGCCUAUUAAACUCGUCUCUCCUUAAAACCAAAAAAAAAAAAAAAAAAAA
rnacentral:lncRNA from 1 species